rnacentral:tRNA from 2 species
AGGCGUGUAGCUCCAACGGUUAGAGCACCGGAUUCCAAAUCCGGGUGUUGGGGGUUCGAAUCCCUCUACGCCUGCCA